AGGAGGAAGAGGGGAAACUGCCUUGUAUGUGGGUCUUCUAGUGAUUCCUCCCCUACAUUUGGAAAGAACUCAAGAUGGACUUACUUGAAUUCUGCUUAAAGAUUAAGAUUAUAUUAAGUGGCCAUUUGCAAAAGACGAAUGGAUUGGAAGAUGGAAGAAUGAAAGAGCGAGCACAAGCAGGGGGAGCAGCAGAGGCAGAGGGGAGAAGCAGGCUUCCCGUGGAGCAGGGAGCCCAAUGUGGGGCUUGAUCCCAGGACCCCGGGAUCAUGACCUGAGCCGAAGGCAGAUACUUAACGACUGAGCCAGCCAGCUGCCCCUGUGUUCUUGACUUUAA